CCUCCCUAAAAAAGGUCCUUGAUUUCCCAGAGAUCCUGCUCCAACGACGCCAUGAGGGACGGGAUUGCUUCCAAUGCUUGGUCGUGUUGUGUCUUCGCAUCUGACGAACCAAUUGUUGACUGCCUCUCUGACCAUGGGGAGCAGAGGGGGCGGCGACGCGGAUUGACCUGGAGCCGGCCACGGAGCUGGCGCGGAAGGGGGUCACUCUGCUGCUCCUCGAGGUGCCCCAGGUUCAGAUGGUGCCCCCGGGGCCUGCCCUUCGUCUACUACUGCUCCCCCAGCAGGCCGGGGACACUGGUAACUUUCACCAGGAGCAGAGACGGGGUCUCUUGGACAAAAAAGAAGAUUGGGGCUGCCUGUAUGAAGAUCACGGUCGGCACUACCACUAGCAGAAGCUGAGAAGCAGUAGAGGCGGAGGAAGACGACAACAACUGAAAAGGCUGGAGUGGCGGAAGACAUCGCACCGGCGGCCGAAGCGGACGACGCAUGUCCAACUCCCACAUCGAAGUGGGUUGCCGCGGCGGGCGCGAGGAAGUGCCGAGGACGCGAGCAGGACGAAUACGAGGUGCCUCCCGUUAGCCGUGGAGCCGCAGCGCAGGUGAGCCUUCGUCGCCGGCUGAGCCCUUAGCUGGCUGGGCCCGUGGGCGACGGGGGAGACGGUGGCUAGGGCCCGCGGUGCCUGCGGUUGACAGGGGUGGAAGAAGAGACCUGGAUUGAUUAGCAUGAGAUCUAAAAGGAUAGGGUUUUAUUGUAAAAUUACAAUUAAACUACGUUGACGACAUUCUUUUU